rnacentral:rRNA from 1 species
GACGAACGCUGGCGGCGUGCUUAACACAUGCAAGUCGAACGGAAAGGCCCUGCUUGCGUGGUAUUCUCGUGGGGAGCACGGGAGUGACACGCGGGAGAUCCGUCCUCUUCAUUUUGGUAUACCUUCAGGACACUGUCUAUAAUACCGUAGAGGACCUCCUGCUGGAUGGUGGUGGAUGGAUAUUUUCGGGGGGUGGGGGUGGACUCGCGGCUUAUCAGUUGGUGGGUGGGGUAGCGGCUUACCAAGGCUUGGACGGGUAGCCGGCCUGGGUGGGGGACCGGCAACAUUGGGACGGAGAUAGGGCCCAGACUCCUAGGGGGGGAAGAAGUGGGGAAUAUGGCACAAUGGGCGGAAGCCGGAGGAAGCAACGCGGCGUGCGGGAUGACGGCCUUCGGGUUGUAAACCGCUUUCGCAUGUGACGAAGCGUGUGUGACGGUAAUGGGUAAAGAAGCACCGGCUAACUACGUG